UGUUUCAAACAGAGCUUCUACGUUGCCGGUCGUUAUCGUUGGUUUGUAUUUUUGCUUGUGAUUUAUAUCACCGAGGGAUCAGAAUCAGACCUAACAAACGCUGACUCUGAAUGCAAUUAUGCCAAGUGCCUUUCAGAUGAUUUUCCUAGAGGGACUGCUCGGGGAUUCCAGGAAAACAUUAUUUGAAAAACUUCAGUUUCCAGCGAAGAGAUUUCUAAAAUUCCAUUUUCACCAGCCAUUCACCAACCCACAGUCUAAGGAGAAUUAUGAAGGCAAAGCUAUAAGUUAGAGCCUUUUUCACUUAGGUCUGACUGCAGAGAACAAGCUUAUCUGUGACAACGGGACAAAUUCUGAUCUCAUAUCAGUGUUAAUCAGUGCUGACUUCAAUGGAAUUCCUGAAUUUACAGUGGAGUAACUGAGAUCAGAAUUUAUUUGGCCUUUUAUCUAGUUCCUUCUGCUUCAAGUUACAAGUCACUGUUUAAAAUGCUAUCCCAUCAUCAUAGUGAUAUAAUAAAGACUUGGGGAAGGCCA